AUUGAACGCUGGCGGCAGGCCUAACACAUGCAAGUCGAACGAGUGGCGGACGGGUGAGUAAUGUCUGGGAAACUGCCUGAUGGAGGGGGAUAACUACUGGAAACGGUAGCUAAUACCGCAUACCAUCAGAUGUGCCCAGAUGGGAUUAGCUUGUUGGUGGGGUAACGGCUCACCAAGGCGACGAUCCCUAGCUGGUCUGAGAGGAUGACCAGCCACACUGGAACUGAGACCAGGUCCAGAAUCCUACGGGAGGAAGCAGUGGGGAAUAUUGAAAAAUGGUGGCAAGCCUGAGGUAGCCAUGCCGGGUGGAUUAAGAAGGCCUUAGGGUUGGAAAGUACUUUCAGCGGGGAGGCGUUACCCGCAGAAGAAGCACCGGCUAACUCCGUGCCAGCAGCCGCGGUAAUAC
rnacentral:rRNA from 1 species